UACGAAGGGUGCUAGCGUUGUUCGGAAUCACUGGGCGUAAAGCGCGCGUAGGCGGCGUAACAAGUCAGAGGUGAAAGCCUGGAGCUCAACUCCAGAAUUGCCUUUGAAACUGUUAUGCUAGAGUGUCGGAGGGGAUAGCGGAAUUGCUAAUGUAGAGGUGAAAUUCGUAGAUAUUAGCAGGAACACCGGUGGCGAAGGCGGCUAUCUGGACGACAACUGACGCUGAGGCGCGAAAGCGUGGGGAGCAAACAGG
rnacentral:rRNA from 1 species